AUACGUAGGGUGCGAGCGUUAAUCGGAAUUACUGGGCGUAAAGCGUGCGCAGGCGGCUUUAUAAGCCAGAUGUGAAAUCCCCGGGCUCAACCUGGGAACUGCAUUUGGAACUGUAAGGCUAGAGUACGGCAGAGGGGGGUAGAAUUCCACGUGUAGCAGUGAAAUGCGUAGAUAUGUGGAGGAAUACCGAUGGCGAAGGCAGCCCCCUGGGUCGAUACUGACGCUCAUGCACGAAAGCGUGGGGAGCAAACAGGAUUAGAUACCCUAGUAGUCC
rnacentral:rRNA from 1 species